rnacentral:rRNA from 1 species
UCCUACGGGAGGCAGCAGUAAGGAAUAUUGGUCAAUGGGCGGAAGCCUGAACCAGCCAUGCCGCGUGCAGGAUGACUGCCCUAUGGGUUGUAAACUGCUUUUGUCCGGGAAUAACCCUCCGUACGUGUAGGGAGCUGAAGACCGCAGAAUAAGAUCGCCCCCCA